rnacentral:lncRNA from 1 species
GUAACCGGCUCGCCGCAGAGGCCUCUGGGAAUUGUAGUUGGGCGGGGUGGGGCCCGCGCCGCUGCCGUUAGCGCUCGCCGCCGCGGUGAGAGCGGGCGCGGUAGCCGCAGCCCGGCCCGGCCUUCGGCGGCGAGGGUUCCCGGCGUCCGGGGCGGGCUCCUCCGCGGUACCGCGGCCACCGAGCAUCCCGGCAGAAAGUUUUUGAAAUAUAAAGAAGCAUUUCUCUGAAAUUUAACCCUCCCACAGUACAAGUGACCUUCCUUGGGGACUUUUCCAGCCAGGAAUGAUCACAGCCGCGAGGGGGUCUGUAUCCUUGGACCCCCAGGCCCCUCAAAAGCAGGACAGAAUUGUGGUGGUGAAGGUGGAGGCAGAGGGCCACUUUAUCCUCGCAGCCGGGAGCUGGCCCACGCGCGCUUCAGACGGUUCUACCACCAGGAGACCAGGAGAUUUGCCACCCGGUGAGGUUCUGCGAUGCCCCCAUGAGCUCUGCCACCAGGGGCUGAGGCUGGAGAGACAUCGCAAGCUGCCCAUCCUGGAGCUGCUGAUGCUGGAGCAGUUCCUGGCCAUCCUGCCCCCGGGGCUGCAGAGCUGGGGCUGGGAGCGCCCUGGGCCGUGGAGAGGAGCUGGCUAUGACGGUGAGAGCUCAGUGAGCCGGGCCGGUGGGUAGGAGAAGAGAGAACUAAUGUGUGCAAAUAGGGAGGGUCGGUCCUCCGAAGAAAACUAAGGCCCAAGCCAUUCUCGCCCAACACUGCGUCUCUCCAUUCCUCUUACCUCUUCCCUUUGACCUUUGGGGCAUAAAUUAGAAUUUGGAUGAUUUCCUGGGGUGGUUUUUUUCUCUGAUGUUCUGAUUCUCAUUGUUACUUGGGAAUGCUUCGUUUAAAUCGUUGUUUAAACCCCUGAUUUUUAAAUCAUACUCUACAGAAACUAAAAUAUAUACUCUUCUUCUACAAUACAGAAUUAAGUACAAGUUUCCCGUUUCUGGCUGAACCUCCCACUCUGGGUGCUCCAUUUCCACUGACUUCUUGGGACCUGGAGAGAAGUAUAGGCCGACUGUGUCCCUUCUGUUAGACUAACCGUGGGGCCCUGAGGCGUGUCGUCUUUCCACAUUCUGUUCUUAGCAAGCUUUUAUCUCUCGGAACACAAAUCCAGCAGACGCCUCGGCCUCAUCCUCAUGAGGGACCGUGAGCGGGGGCCACCCAGCUCUGUGGCUCCCAGAUUCCCGCCCUCAGAGACUGUGCGAGAUCUGUCGUGUGUGUGUGUGUGUUGUGUUCAGCUGCUGAAUUUUAGAGUAAUUUGUUACGCAGCAAUGGAAAACUGAUACAAGUGUUCUAACAAAGGAUUUGGGUACGGUUUCCAGGUUUUAGAAGCCAACUGGGAGAGGUAGGUUGGAUUCAGAAAAAUGAAUUUCUGGGCUGUUCUCAUGGCUUUUGAGAACGACUGGACAGAAUAUUUGAAACUAGGACAUAUAGGGAAAAAUUUAGGAAAUGUCAUAUCAGUAGAUUCAAAUUAUAUUUAAUGUAACUCAGUUAUUUAGGUUUUAAAAUUAUUUUAUGAAAAUUUAAUUUGAAAUCAUUAAAUUGUACACUUUAAAUAUAUGCUUUUUUUUUUUUGCUGAGGAAGAUUCACCUUGGGCUAACAUCUGUGCCAGUCUUCCUCUAUUUUGUAUGUGGGUCACCACCACAUUAUGGCUGAUGAGUGGAGUAGGUCCACGCCCUGAGAACUGAACCCCAGCUGCUAAACCGGAGUGCACCAAACUUAACCACUAGGCCACAGGGCUGGCCAAAUAGAUGUAAUUUUUUCUUUUCUUUUUUGAGGAAGAUUAGCCCUGAGCUAACCACUGCCGGUCCUCCUCCCUUCUGCUGAGGAAGCCUGGCCCUGAGCCGACAUCUGUGCCCAUCUUCCUCUACACAUGUGACGCCUACCACAGCAUGGCUUGCCUAGUGGUGCCAUGUCCGCUGCCAAGAUCUGAACCGGUGAACCCCGGGCCGCCAAGAAGCGGAACGCAUGAACUUAAUCGCUGCACCACUGGGCCAGCCCUAGAUGACCGGAAGUUUCCUGGGGGCAGAGGGCAUCUCCACCACCGGCACAAGAACCACCACGCGUCGGCACAAGAACCACCACGCGUCGCCAGCUUCAGCCAGUGACACCCAGUUCAAACGCAGAUCUUGGGAGCUCCACCCCCUCCAAGCCAGUGGUAAGAGGCAGCUUCCCCUGGGGAAGAGAUUGGGGUCCUCGUUCCUUCUUCCUGGGUCCUCCUGUGCUGAAAAGCAGGACAGAACAUCACAGCUUACAGAUCUGUGCUGGGAGCCGAGUGUGAUCAUUGAACUAGCAUGAGACCAUAAGUGUGGAAUGCAGAGAGGUACUGAGGUCAUUGGAGGACAAGAAACAGAAUGGAACCCCUCCGUCGUCUCAGUCAUCCACAGGGGCCCCUGCCAGAGCUGAGCGUCCCUGUGGUGUGGUAGCUUUUUGGCCAAACCACGCUCCAUGGUGUGGCUCACAGAGACCUUUCUUGACAAUGAGAUGAUCUUGUCUUCUUCCCUCCAUGUAGUCUGUACUCAGCGUUUGGAGGGAACCCAGGAGAUCAAGUCACCUUGUUGGGUCUAUGGAGGGGCCCUGCUCCAGGGCAAGGCAGGCAGUUGGGAAUCAGGAGAACAGGCUCAAUGAGGCAUCUCCCCAGCGGGAGGGGGCAGCCGGCAGGGUGGAGGGGCUGGACGCGCCGCUGUCUCUCCCUCAGAGAGGAGUGGUUCCAUCGCUGUUUCUGUUGCUGUAAAUUCUCAGAACUCAGUACCUUCCUUUGUAACAGGACUGUAACGCUCCUUGCAAAGCCAAAUAUCCCCUACUAGGGGGUGCUGUUUUAGAUCAGCAGUGCCAGCCUGGCCUUGCGUGAGCACCGGGGGCCAAGAGUUGACCUCCCAGAUUUGGACGUGUCCGUGGACACCUAGUCGGGGAGCAUCAGGUCCCUUCUCUUGGGAGUGUAGUUUGACUGAAGAGCUCCCCGAAAUAAGUGACACACUCACAACUUCUAGCAUCUCCUGUCACUGUUGGGAUCCAUGGGACACAGAAGGCGGGGAGGCCAAGGCAGGGAUGACAUUCAUCUGGUGCCACCAGCACGGAUGGACGGGUUGUGAAAGUAUUGAAACGCUUCUAGACUGGUUGGUAAGCAGCUGCCGCUCUGUCCCUGAGUGCCCUGCCAGCCCUUUGGCCACCCGGUGAUGCCCCCGAUCCUCAAGACCUUCCCAGGGUCCACCCUUUAAUGGUUAUCACCAGGUCCCACCAGAGGUCUCCAGGUGAGACCAGCAUCUGUUCUAAUCAGUCAGUCUGGGCCCUACGAGUUAAGUGUUUGUAACAUGCUCCUUGGCCCCUGCCUUGUGGCCCGUGCUCGUGAGGGACAGCUGAGCAGCACAGAGCAGCGAGACGGGCACUGGAACCAACUGGAUUGGGGUCCUGCCUCCGCUGCGUACUAGCUGUGCCAUUUGGGGCAAGUCCUUGAACUUCUCUGAGCCUCAGUUUCCUCAUCUGUAAGCGUCAAAUAAAAUAAUAGAUGAGAACGUACUUUGUAAGCUACAACGUGCCCCCAUGUAAAAGUUAUUUUUUAUUACCGUUUAUGACAUCUAUGAGUCUUUGUCCAACACGGGACCGCACCCACAAAGCCAGCGUUCAUCCCUCGGCCUCCGCUCCUUCCUUUUACCCUUUCUGCAGCUACUUCAACCUCUAUCCCCUGCCGCCCUCCAGGGGACACCCAAGGACUCCACUCUGCUGAGGUCACAGCCUUGGCCCCCCUGGGACAGUGUCCUCAACCACCUGCCCACCGCGCCCUCUUCCUGUGUGGCCAAGUCAUUCUCCCAGAAGCUUCCUUAGACUUCCCCUCCUGUCACCCCACUACCAAGCUUUUUCCUCCUCCUCUCCCCAGAUUUGUAAAAUAAUAAUUUGACAGGUUUUCGUUAAUAUAAAAGGAAUACAUGUUUGUGACAGAACAUUGGGAAAAUACAAAUAUGCCUGAAAGGAAAAUGGAAGUAACUCAUAAUCUCACCGUAUAUAUACUAUUUUAUAAGCUACUGUAGAAAUAUAUAUGAUCAUGAAAUUCUUUUACAGCCUCAUUUUUCAUCGUGGUGUCACAUGCCGCCGUUCAUGUCAUGGGUCCCCUGUGAUCGGCAGGGGUUUUAUCUCCACAGCCACCUUUGCACAGCAAUAAUAUUUGGAUUCUCUCCGUCUGGGUUCCGAUGGUGACCUCAGGACUGAGGACGGCUUCAGCUCAGAUCAGGAACUUGCUGAAGGAAGGCCUCCCCAGUGACUCAAGCAGACUCCAGGGAAGCUCUGCAGGCGCCAGAGCUGGGAGGCCCGCAGAAUGUUCCAGGCCCUUGGGCUGCCUCAGGGAACCUCCCAGAGAGCAGGCUGAGCAGCCAUCCUGCCCAAGAGAGGAGUUUCAAGCAGGAGAGAGAAGAGACAAGCCAUGAAGGUGACAAGUGACAAGCCUGCAGGCCAGGUGAGCUCCUGGUUCCAGAUUAGAAAAGACGUCCGGGCAAAGGCCACAGUGAUGUCACACGUGUGGCUGUGGUCGAGCAGACACAGCCCUCGUUCAGCAUCGGAGCCCACGCGGAAGAGAAGCCUCAGGUGUGAGCGGUGACAGGUCAGGAAGCUGUUACUUUGAUGAGAAAAGGAGAGAGGCGGGACCACCAUGGCCCUGAGCAGGGAAGCUGGUGUGUGUGAGCUGAGGGGCACGAAGGACACAGCUAGACACGGUCCCCAAACACAGGCCUUCUCUGCGUGGCUUCAUCACCACCAGGUGUGUGCUCCCCAGGUGCCGAAGGGCAAGGGAGCUGGCCCGCUCAGCCACUCGUCACCAGGCCACUCAGCUCCCACAUCAGCCACCUGGCCUCCACCUUAGUCCCUUCUUAGGCCACUUUUCUGUCACUUCUGCUCUUUUGUAAGAAACAUAAUACAUUUUUUCUCUUCUCAACAAGCGUAAUGCAUGUCCAUAACAGACACUUUUAAAAUACAUGUAAACAAAAUGAAAAAAAUCUAGUCACCUAUUCCAGAAUCACGGGUAACAUGGAGUGUCUUUCUAGCAUUUUUUCCUAAGCAUAUAUAUACAUUUUCUCCAUUUUUCAGGUUUCUCUAAAACCUAAAAAAAGAGGUAGGGAACCUCCCUGCAGCCCGACUUCCUUUCACCUGGGAGCCGAGAAUGGGAACCAAGAGAAGGUGGGAACCGGCCUGUGUCUUGUGGACCCCGCCCUGGCGGCCUCAGGAGCAGGACCUCUUUCGGCCACCAGAGGGGGGUGUCUGCUCAUGCACGUCUGUCCCAGUUUUCUCCUCGGGUCCAGGAACGGGCAGCUCCCCUGGAAGCCACCGUGGCCGCUCCUCGCUUUAUUGCUCAUUCUGCUCCCUGCCGCCCCGGGAAACCUUCUUGGUUCCUGAGGAGAAACAGACCAAACUCCCAGGCUCCCUCUGGACCGCGUCUGCCCAGAUUUCCCGCAGCCUUGGACAGCUCUCCUCGCCGGUGCCGCCUUGGGCCUCAGAGGGAGGGGAUGACCUGCUUCCCGUUGUUCUCAGGGUCGAGUCCCGAGGCCCUGGACGGCCCGGCCCCUCCCUGUUCCUCCCCCCCUCCCUCCACGUUGGGCUCCGUUUUCCUCACUUACACUACACUGGCCAUCUUCCGGCUCCGUUCACUCUGUUCCCUCACCAGCUGACCCUCCCGCGUGUUGCUCUCGGGAAGGCGCCCCCCAGCCCGCCCCAGGCAGAUGCCUGCUGUUCCAGGGCUUAGGUGACACGCUGCUUCUUCCCGGGAGUCGCUCCCAACCCCGCGAGUCUGGGAUACGGGAUUCUCUUCUCUGCUUCCUGGGGCCCAGUACUUCCCCUUUCAGAACUCGUAGCAUGCUGGGUUGUCUGCCUCCUUCUAGAGUGGAAGUUCCAGGAGGGCAGGGACCGUGUCAGUCUUACUCGCGUCCCCAGCACUGACGCACCCUGCCCGGCGCUCCGCAGCGCUCAAUGAAGAUUUGCUAAAUGGGCGCAUGAAUGAGUGAAUGCGGAAUGAAGGAGUGUGCCUUUCCCUGGUCCCUGAAGUAGAGUCUCCGAAAGCCGUCCCCUUCUCUCCUUCUGUCCCCUUGCCCUCCCAGUUCGCCAGGUGCCUCUCAUUGUCCCUACAACUCUGGAAACAGCCCGAGGAAUCGCACACUAAUGGCCCGGUUCCCUCCCUUGUGUGGGGCAGACAGUGGGGUUUGGAGCGAGAUGGACUGAGCUUCAAGUACUCUGCCACUUAAUAGCUGUGCGCGCACCUUAUUUUCUUUAUUUACAAAGUGGAGAUAACAGGUCCCAGGCCAUUGCUCUGAGAAACCCCGGGCCAGCUCGACAUGUGGUGAACAGCCAUUACGCCCGCGUUCUUUCUCCCUCCCUUCCCCGCGCUCUCUCCUACGCCCCCUCCGAAGCCUUGGGACACAGACACCCCUGCAGUCCAAAAGACUUAGAGGAAGCUCUCUGAGGAAGAACCGUGUCUUGUCCUUCAUAUGUCUGCGGCCCCUCUGAGCCUGAGAGACUCAGGACGGUCUGUGGCUUGGCCACUGUGUGCGGCUGCGGACCCUGCGAUUGAAGCAGACAGAUCUGUGGUUCAGGGCAGUCGUGGAUGGAGAUGCAGACGUAGUCUGCCUUCCCUGGACGGUUGUCGGUCCUUCUCUUCCAGGACACACGGAAGGAAGGUGAUCUUGUCCCUCCCGCCACCCCUUCCCCCGCCCCCCAGGCCGGUCGGCCAUGUUGGCCCUGAUACUCAAGGUUCUGGAUGCGUGGUCCCCCUGCCUCAGCUCUGCCUGGAGACGUUGCCAGCCCCCACGCUCUGUGCUAAUCCUGGGCGUGACCUUGGGGUGGAGGAGGCAGGGAGCAAGCAAGAAAGCAGUAUUGUUGCAGGGCCGUGUGGUUAAGUAUGGCUGGUUCAGAGAGCACCUUCAAUGUCAACUUGGAGCUCUUUGAGGGCACAGCCUAUGCCUGAGGCGUCUAUGUCCGCAUGCCUGGCUCAGCACCAGCACGUAGUAGGUACUCAUCUGGGGUGGAGCAGGAGUAUGCUUCUGUAGUCACCAGCAACCACGGGGGUCACGAGGGAGCGAAGAGAACAGAUGUUAGUGACUGGCCUGAAGUCCCGCCUGUGCCUCCCCGGCCCCUGAGGGGGACAGCAUCCCCUCGGUCUAUGGUGAAGUUCUGGGGUCCAAGCAAAAACGCAGAAAAGCCCCCUUGUCUUUUGUUAGCUGCAAAAUCUCCAUCUCCCCUCAAAAACGGGGACCGAUUCUGUGUAUGCAUUCAGUUUUCCGUAGCCUUGGAGCUCUCUAACUGUCUUUAAAAGCUAAUAGGUUAGAAAUGUUCUCGGUGGGAUGGUGAGAGCUGGUCCCUAAAGUUGGCAGUCCCCAUCAGAACUGCAUUUCCUAGGAACCCAGGGCUGCUUCUCAACAGCUGACCCUUGAACCUGGUGCAGUCAGGAGCGGGUCACUGAGCCUCAGGGAAGGAGAGUGAGGCGGGGCCCUUGCUGGCGGCCUCUUCGUCUGCUUUCCACAGGCCUCGGAGCUCACCCCGUCGUCUCUGGGCAGGAGGACAGCUGGCCCCCGGGUUUUUGUGCCCCGGCCUUGGUGGACCAUGGCUGGGAUGUCAUUUAUGGUGGGUCUCCAGAAUACCCUCUCAAAGCGCUCUCCUAAGACCAGAUUGAAUAGAAAUUAUGGAAACGGGUAGAGGAGAUCGAAAUGGAUCACCAAUUGGAGACUGUCGGGAGCAGGGGCCUGGAGGGACGGGUGGCUCUGAGCUCAGCGCCCCUAGGGAACUGGUGAAGGCUGCUCCUCAGAAGCUGUUCCAAAGGCUUCUGGGAAACUUGCUCGAGAAACUAGGUCAAGAAGGAAAGCCGUAAAGUGCUUCACGGUGUGUAAAUACACCCCCAUCCCCAUUGCCCCGUGCAGAGGACACCAGUAGAGUCCCCGUCCUGACCAGCCCAGCCAGCCUCUGUGCGCUGGCAAGCUGCUCUGCUCCCUGGGCCUCUGGCCCCGCUCACCGAGAGGCUAACACUGACCAGUGCAGCAACUAGGGGGCGUGUAGUGCUGGCUCUGCCGCGUGUUCCCCGAGCAGUAUCUCAUUUCAUCCUCCCAACAGCCCUGUGACACGGGAGGUUUCUCUCCUCAUGGUACAAAUGAGAAGGUAAGACUCAGAGAGGUUAAAUAACUUGCCCAAGGUCAUGCAGCUAACAAGUCGAGGGGCAAGCAUUCAAGUCCAGGUCUGACCCCCCAACGCCUUUCAAAGUCCUAGUUUGCCCGUGGCAGGACUUGUAAUUCCGUGCACCGGACUAACCAGUCCACUUUCCAUCCUAUUCACUGGCCAUAGUGAAAUGGUCCUGCUUCCACACUCUCUUCUUCAGCCUGUCAGGGCCGCAGAUGGUUUCUCAGAGGCCAGGAGCGGUCAGGACGGGGCGCUCCCAUCCCUAUUAAAGCCGUGUUCAUGAGGAACGUCAGGCUUUCUGCCGGCAGCCCCUGGAAUUUCUGCUGUGGGAAUUCGGGAGAUCCUCGAGUCAUGGCCCGCUCAAGAAUCGGUGGUUGUGUCUCAAUUCUGUAAGUCAGGUAUUCGGGCAGAGCAAGGCAGGAACAAUUUAGUUCUGCUCCGCCCUGUCUGAGCCUCAGCUGAAGUGGCCCCACUGACUGUAUUUGACUGGGGCGGUUUGACUGGCCAUAGGUCAGAGGCCUUGCUUCUGUCUGCCAGCUGGAUUCCUCCCCAGUUGUCCAUGAGGCGGUCACUGAAGUGGGGCUGAAAUGUCCAAAAUAGCUUUUGCUUUCAUGUCUCUGCUGCCUCUGCGUGCUCCCGUGAAGCCCCUCUCCACAGAGUAGCCUAAUCUUAUAUUGUUGCUCUGGGCUCCACAAACCCCCUAUCCAUGCUCUUCUCUCCUCUCCUCUGCACCUGUCCCAGCCCACAGCCCGUGUGUGGGGAGCUGUCUCGUUCAGCCGCCGUGGCCAUGGCUGUGUUGUACCACGCGACCCUGCUCUUUGCCCCUUCCCCCCCACCCCCACACCAGUCAUUGGACCAGGAUCCGUUACAGGCUGGCCAACGAUUUUGGAAGUCACCUGACUCGAAAAUACAAGGAAAAGCCAGUCAGACCAGCCAGAGUCCCUUUUGGGAAGUUUGAAUCAAAAAAUCAGAGAGGAUAGGCAGUGUGUGACAAGAUGUCACGAGGGCAAGUAGGGCCUGGCUGGACCAGUGUGCUGGCCAGGAUUAAAAGAAGAUUAAAUGAAGAAGAAAGUUAGAGGUUGAAGAAAAACAAAAACAAGCUCUGACUUGGAGAGGAUACCCUUACCGGGGAGGGACCAGUGAGCCUGAUUUUGGCAAGAGGAUAGAGGAGGGAAUGACGAGGGCAGAGCUGGGACUCUGUGAGAGGCAGAGAGGGCAGUCCGCCCGGGAGGCACCCUUGUGCCCCACAGCUCACUAGGUCCAGCCUCGCCUGUGUGUGUCAUUGCAGCAAGCUCUUUACUUUGGUGUCAGUUGGCUUGCUGGUGGGCAUGUGACUUCAUUCUGCCAAUAAAACUUAUGAAGGAAUGGCUGGGGGACCUUCUAGUAAGAAUUUUGCUUUUUGAUUAAAAGAGAGAGAGUGAAGAGGCCUGUCCGUUCUUCCUGCUUUGAACGUGGAUGUUUAAGGGCAUGAUACUUGGAGCUGCAGCAGCCAUUUUGAGACCAGGAGGCAACAAGACCAAGGGAAAAACCAACAUACCGAGGUUGGCUGAGCAGACAGACAAAAAGAGCCUGGGUCCUUGAUGGUAUUGUUGAGCCACUCCACCUGUCCUGGAACCCCUAUUUCCAUUCUUAUUGAUAUAUUCGUUAAAUGUCUUUAUUUUGCAAGCAGAUUUCUGCUACAUGCAGCCUAAGGCAGUCUUAACCAGUAUAGCACUCCUCUGACCUCUUCAUCCUCUAACUCUGAACAACUCCUUCGAGCCCCGUGGUUCUUGGUGUAGCUCCAAAUAGAAAGUCAGCCCAAGUUCAGACUUUGGAAAUCUUACUCAUAUGGUAGGAAAUAAAAGUCAAGAUUGCUCACAGCCGACAGAGCAAUUCUGGCACUUAGCCCUGACCCCUGGCCCCUACAGGACACAGACAAGGAAAGAAAGGUAGGUUAAGGAAAGUUCUAGAUGCAUGAGUCUUCUAAAAUGGGGCUUCAUGAUGAACUUUAGAAAGAAGAUCAGUUUGUGUAUUGGGCUCAAGGAUUAAUGUCUGAGAUGCAGAACGUAAGUACAGGCCAGAAAGCCAUGGAAAGCAUGCGGAAGGAGCCGCAGUGGCUGCCUGGAAUGGGCAGGUGGUGGGCGGGUUGGAUGACUCGUGCAGAAGGAGGCCAGUGAGCACAGCAGGAGUUUAUGAGCUCCAAGUACCAGCUGGAAGGAGUUUAUGGCAGCUAGAGUGAAACCGGUGGAAAAUGAGGCCUUUUAGUUACUCCCCAGCCAGCCUGAGUGACACUGUAGAUCCUUUUAGGAAUGAGGUGCCCUGAAUUGUGGCCGUCCUGUGUGUGGGCACGCCCACGCUCUUCGUUCUUUGUCUCUCUUCCACCACCCCCUUUUUUUUCUGCCAUUUCUUCCUGUCUUCUCGAAGCAAAGCCAGGAGCCAGGAUCCCUUCCACCUCAAUGGGAGAGUGGAUGUCGCGGGAGGCAAGGAUGUCUUGGGAAGACUGAAUCCUAGCCUGGGCAUGGCGGUUAGGUUGGAGGAGAGAACGCAGUCGGUUGACAAGGAGCAGAGGAAGCUUUCUUCUGACCCACCUUUCAUCAGGCAGUGUGGUUUUUGUGUUUCUUCAGCACAAAAAAAUGUACCUGAUCCUUCCCUCAUGAAAUGAGAAGUUGAACUCAAGAAUGCUAGCCCUCCCUCUUUCAGUUUCUAGCUUUAGAUACGUACCAGAGAUAAACUGGCAUCCUCCUCAGGUACCCCACAAAGACAGAUUACUCCAUUCCCUUCAGAACUCUGGAAAAGUCACCCACCCGGUUCCCAUCUCGAGAUAAUCUUCAGCGGUAUAGAGAUGGGGCCCGUAGAAGUUCAUCACAUUAAUGGGGCCCAAACAUGGAUGUGUUGCGAUGAUAUUAGAAUUUGCUGCCUCAGAUUCUGCCACUAAGCCUCAGGCCUCAGCACAGUCCUUAUGCGUAUCUUAUGGAUACAGAGCCCGCGUGUCUUCUGGAGUCCUGCCCCAGAGGUCAAGACCAGGCCAACCCUUUUACCUACUACAUUACUUAAUUCAUUCAGCAGAAAUGUACUGAAUGAAUACCUAGUAGAAGUAAAAGUUAAGCUUAUAAAAGCAGUGAUAAUAUUAGGAAGAUAAGUCAUUAAAGACCAAAAAAAUCCCGUGAGAUAAUCAGAGAAAGGAACGAACGCUUUGGUUGGGAUGGAGAAAGCAAAAAGUUGAAAUCCUUAGUUUGAUAGGAUUGAUGCUUUAAUGUGAAACUUAAUAAGCCCUAAGUCCCCCGUGAAGUUUCCCCCUAUAUCACUAAGGAUUCUCUGAAAUCCAGCAAGGAAGAAACUGAAGGCUUUUCCUCAUUCUUGACAAGCAAGCUUUUUCUCCAGUGUGAAUUAGCCUGAUUACUGACUAAAUAAUCGCCCGCAAUCUUGACAACACGAGAGUCUUUCUUUCCUGUGAGUCCUCCCAUGAUGAGAAAGAGCUACACCAGCCCCACGUGAUUUUCCACAGUGAUUAUGCUCCCAGGCUUCUCUCCAGGCUGGAUGACCCUCCACACUUCCUCUAGAUGAUUCUCCAGCUUCAUCACAAAUGACCGGCUGAGUCCGGAGCAAAUUAGCUGACGUUGUCUGCGGGUGGGACACUGACUGAAGGUUCCUUCUCACCCAUUGUGCUCACAGGGCUCCUCUCUGCUCUGAAAUCCCAGAUGUCUAAUUAGCUCUGAGCACCGUCUGAAAGCAUUUUUACAUCCAUUACGUGCAUAUGGUUUUUCUCCAGUGUGAAUUCUCUGACGUUGAAUGAGCUUUACUUUGCUGAAAGCCCUCACAUUUAUUGCAUUUGUAGAGUUCCUAUUGCAUGUGAAUUAGCUGCUGCCAUGUGGUGCUGGGAUGCUGGCAGAUGCCUCCCGCAAACGGGGAUUCUCUCCAAGAUGAAUGUUACAAUGUUCAGUAGGAUGGGAGCCCCGAGGAAAGCUGCCUGUAUUCAUAACAAAGAUGUUCUCUCCGAUAUGAAUACUGUAAUACUGAAUAAAUUCUCAAUUCUAAGAUUUGGCCACACUUAUCUUAUUUUUGGGUUUUCUCACUUCUAAAGAAUGUCAACAGAAUCGCAAAUUUUUCCCCUAUUCAUCACAUUUGUGAGAUGGGGUCCCUAAUGGUUCUCUAGGAUGUCUCCAUAUUCACAGACAUCUCCAAACUCAGGGACCCGGUCAGCAUCCCACGGGGACCUUCUCCUUGUGUCCACCUAUGAUUCUACUGUUGCAGAAAGUUCCUGCUCGGGUCAGCUUGUUCUUGGUCCCAGUCUCACAAUAGGAAAUUACAGAGAACGUAAAUAUCAACCAUUCUCUUUUAAAGGACAAGAAAAUUUAUUGGACUAAGAAUGAAAGUUUUGGGGAGAAGAUUUAAAGAUAAGAGUGACUUUGGGCAAACAUGAAAUGAUGAGUGUGACAGACUGCUGGUUACUUAUAUUCGCUUUUUCUUUCUUAACCCAAUUUUGGUCGUAGUGAUGUGGAUCAAGGCUGCCCCAGGGAGAGAAGCCCAGGGCAUGCUGGCUUACAUGCCGAUCUAUUUGACCAGAUUCAUAUCUAAAGUUAUACGACCACACAAUAACCAGACCCCAUCUGCACUGAAACCAUUUAAUGACUUUUUACACCAUUUUUUCUUUUUCCAGUAAAAAUAAGUCACGUACCCAUGCCUUAGAAAUUUAGCCCUAACCCUCAACACAUUGCAGCAGCAGUUCUGACUGCCCAUGAGUCCUGUUCCCAUGCCAGCGGCAGCAGGAGCUCCUCUUGCCCGUGGGUCCUGUCCCCAUGCAGCAGCUCUUUACUGCCCAUGGGUCCUGUCCCCAUGCUAUUCCAU